CAGCAGCCACGGUAAUACGUAGGUGGCAAGCGUUGUCCGGAAUUGUUGGGCGUAAAGGGCUCGCAGGCGGUUUCUUAAGUCUGAUGUGAAAGCCCCCGGCUUAACCGGGGAGGGUCAUUGGAAACUGGGAAACUUGAGUGCAGAAGAGGAGAGUGGAAUUCCACGUGUAGCGGUGAAAUGCGUAGAGAUGUGGAGGAACACCAGUGGCGAAGGCGACUCUCUGGUCUGUAACUGACGCUGAGGAGCGAAAGCGUGGGGAGCGAACAGGAUUAGAUACCCCUGUAGUCCUUGUCUCUUAUAC
rnacentral:rRNA from 1 species